GGGGGAGUGCCGGAUCCUGGGCUGUGUCCACUGGUGCCCUGGGCUCCCGGUCUGCACCACUGGAAUCAUGCUCCCAGGGCUGUAUAGCCCCCU
rnacentral:pre_miRNA from 1 species